rnacentral:rRNA from 1 species
AGUGAACGCUGGCGGCGUGCCUAACACAUGCAAGUCGAACGAUGAUGAUGGAGCUUGCUCUAUCUGAUUAGUGGCGCACGGGUGAGUAAUGCGUAGAUAAUGUGCCCCUUAGUUCGGGAUAGCCACUGGAAACGGUGAUUAAUACCGGAUACUCCUUCUUGUCUCAAGGCAAGUCGGGAAAGUUUUUCGCUAAGGGAUCAGUCUAUGUUCCAUCAGGUAGUUGGUGAGGUAAUGGCUCACCAAGCCUAUGACGGAUAUCUGGUUUGAGAGGAUGACCAGACACACUGGAACUGAGACACGGUCCAGACUCCUACGGGAGGCAGCAGUGAGGAAUAUUGCGCAAUGGAGGAAACUCUGAUGCAGCAACGCCGCGUGGAGGAUGACGCAUUUCGGUGUGUAAACUCCUUUUAUUAGGGAAGAUAAUGACGGUACCUAAUGAAUAAGCACCGGCUAACUCCGUGCCAGCAGCCGCCGUAA